UGGGGAAUCUUAGACAAUGGGCGCAAGCCUGAUCUAGCCAUGCCGCGUGAGCGAUGAAGGCCUUAGGGUUGUAAAGCUCUUUCAGUGGGGAAGAUAAUGACUGUACCCACAGAAGAAGCCCCGGCUAACUCCGUGCCAGCAGCCGCGGUAAUACGGAGGGGGCUAGCGUUGUUCGGAAUUACUGGGCGUAAAGCGCACGUAGGCGGACUGGAAAGUCAGAGGUGAAAUCCCAGGGCUCAACCUUGGAACUGCCUUUGAAACUCCCGGUCUUGAGGUCGAGAGAGGUGAGUGGAAUUCCGAGUGUAGAGGUGAAAUUCGUAGAUAUUCGGAGGAACACCAGUGGCGAAGGCGGCUCACUGGCUCGAUACUGACGCUGAGGUGCGAAAGCGUGGGGAGCAAACA
rnacentral:rRNA from 1 species